UGUCGUGAUUAUGCAUGCACAGAUUCAAGCUUCAAUAGAUUAUUGUAAUUUAGGAAAUACCACUGAAGAUUCUAACAAACAUCUCCCUUACUUCCUUUCUUGGUUUGCACAACAAUUAAGGUAUAUAAUCAAUUACAGUAUGUCAACACUUUGGGUGAUCCAUGUAUAUUUUGUGUGUGUCAUAUUUGUAAAUGCUUGAUAAAUAUUUGCGGGUCUGUGAGGAAGUUAUAUGAAAUUUUACGAUAAAUACGUGAUAUUAUAUAAGAUAUAGAAUUUUUUUUACGCUAAUCAAAAUGAGAAAUGAAAUGCGUAGAUUAUAUAGAUAUUAAACUUGUUGCAAUGAAAUUCAUGGCGGACUUGACAAAACCUAUCAUAUAUGUAAAGCAAACCGGGAUUCUAGCUACCAAAAAUCACAUUGGUCGAACUGAUAUAAAGUCUGAACCGACCUUACACGAAAUGAAUGUGUCUCAACUCUUAUCUGACUCAAAUAGACCUGAAAUUGGAAUAAUUAUUUACACGAAAGUAUUUUAAACAAAUUCAAACGACCUGAUUGACACCUCCUUUAUUGCAGAUUUUAAAAACUUAAUAUUAAAUCCAAAUUUAAGAAGUUAAGCACAUUACCUUCCCUCUAAGCAUUUUGCAUUAAUGCAAAUUGGACUAAAUUAGUAAAUCAUCCCUUAAUCAAUAGAUCCCCUUUCCCCGCUUCCCCUUACAACACCAUAAUCUCCCUCGACUCCCGUUUACCUUCCCUUUUUCGCUCACCCCUUCUCAACCUCCUUCGCUCACCACUCACCGCCGUAAAACCAGCCAUUUUCGCCGGAAAUCCCAUUAUCAACCACCUCCACCACUAUCUUCCUCUUGCGCGCGCUCCUUCUCUCUUCCCUCUCUCCAAACCGCACUCCGACGGCCAUUUCCUCACCACUACAAUUGGCAAGCACCGCCUUGUACACUGAGCACCGCCGCAUCCGCCACCUCAUUUCCUUCGUUUCCGCACGCCGGAGUACUCUAUUCAAAACUGCUGCAAUUCUGCCGAGUAUUCACCGUAUAAAACCAGUCACACGCUGAUCACCUCCGCCAAUGUGAUUACUGGCUACCGCCAGUUGCCCGCAUUCUACACCGGCGACGUUACAACGUUUUCUGCCGCAUUGUAUCCCUUGAUUUAGGUUUCUUCGAAUUAGGGAUGGUGGUUGCGUGAGGAAUAUUGGUGGUUCUUGUUGUGAAUUAUUGUUCCCAUGGCAGACAGGAGCUCCUCCUCAAUGGGGUUUUACUGUUGGAAUUCCUUGUUUUAUUGGCUUUGUUUAACAACCACACUCUUCCUGCUGUCUUCCUUCUUCGUACUGCGGUCAUCAGGCCGGCCACAAUUUGUUUUUCGGCCAAGUUCAGAUGCCAACAUUGUAUCUGAUAAUCUAAAUAGUGGUAGAGGAGCUGCAGUAUUGUGCCAAAAGGUUAUUGCAGAACAUUGUGCGAGCAAACAAAUUCUGAAGGUUUUCAUGUAUGAUUUACCACCUGAGUUCCAUUUUGGACUUUUGGAUUGGAAGCCUGAGGGAACUAAUGUUUGGCCAGAUAUUCGAACAAAAGUCCCAACCUAUCCUGGUGGAUUGAAUUUGCAACACAGUAUAGAGUAUUGGCUUACGCUUGAUCUCCUUUUUUCGGAAUAUUCAGGCUCUUCAACUUCUCGUGUUGCUAUCAGAGUGCGAAAUUCUAGUGAAGCAGAUGUGAUAUUUGUCCCCUUUUUCUCAUCUUUAUCUUAUAAUCGCUUUUCAAGGUUGAGAAAGCAGGAAAGGAGCAGCUUUGACAAGCUUAAACAAGAUAAGUUGGUCGAAUAUGUAGAAGCCCAAGAUGAGUGGAAAAAAUCAGGGGGUGUGGAUCACAUUAUUUUGGCUCACCAUCCUAAUAGUUUAUUAUAUGCAAGGAACCUACUUUGGCCUGCAAUGUUCAUACUCUCAGAUUUUGGGAGGUAUCCUCCAAAUAUAGCAAAUGUUCAUAAAGAUAUCAUAGCUCCUUACCGUCAUGUUAUCAAGUCAUAUGCUAAUGAUACAUCAACUUAUGAUAGUCGUCCAAUCUUACUUUACUUCCAAGGUGCCAUCUACAGAAAAGAUGGUGGAGUGAUAAGACAAGAGUUAUUUUAUCUUUUGAAAGAUGAAAAGGAUGUGCAUUUUGCAUUUGGAAGUAUACAGCGAGGUGGUGUGAAUAAUGCUACCCAAGGAAUGCACUCGUCUAAAUUCUGCCUGAACAUAGCAGGUGACACACCAUCAUCAAACCGCCUAUUUGAUGCGAUUGCCAGCCACUGUGUUCCGGUCAUCAUCAGUGAUGGAAUCGAGCUUCCCUAUGAAGACAUUAUCGAUUACUCGGAAUUCUGCAUUUUUGUCCGUAAUUCUGAUGCCACAAAGGAGAAAUUUCUUAUGAAUCUUAUCAGGGGUAUAAGCAAGGAAGAAUGGACUCGCAUGUGGACAAAACUGCAACAAGUUGAGAAGUACUUUGAGUUUAGAUAUCCGUCAAGAGACGAUGAUGCUGUCCAAAUGAUAUGGAAGUCCAUAGCACACAAGGUGCCUGCAGUGAAGUUGAAGUUGAACCGAAACAGACGGUAUUUUCGUACCACAAAUGUCAGUGUCACGCAUACGGAACCUCCAGCUUUCAUGGUGCCACAUAAUUUUUGGUAGAAAACAACGGUGUCUUCCCUCUUUGGAGGCCUGCAGUUUUUUACUUUAUAGGGCCUGCCGAAGCUGCCUAACAGAAAUUUAGGCCUCCUUGAUAUGAAAGACAGUUGGCAAAAGCAAUUUGAUACUCAGCAACACAGACAGAAGCUUCAUCAUGCUUUAAGGGAAUGGACUGGGCUUUCACUUGUUCGAUGACUAGUAUUACCAUCUUCAUUGAUUCGGCGAAUUUGGUGACUAAUCUCAUAGCGGGAGGUUCUCGAGAUAUACAGGUUCAAUGGACAAUAUCCACUAUUCCUCAAGGAGGAAAGGAUUUCACGCACUGUCACAUUUGUUAGGUUGAUAGAGAACAGGUUAGUAAUGCACAUGUGUCGCCACAAUCAUCUAUCUAUGGAGGCAUUUCGUUCGCCACCUUUGCACUAAAAUUUGACUAGAUUUAUUUCAUGUCUUUAAUUUUGUACUUUUACUAAAUGUCAAAAAAAAAACUUUACUAUAUUUAUUUCAUGUCUUUAAUUUUGUACUUUUACUAU